rnacentral:rRNA from 1 species
AUGUUAGUCGACAGAGAAUUGCUUGGUGUUUCCAUGAGUACUCGCUGCUGCAAUAUUUUGUCCUGGAAUGUAAGAGGCCUCAACGCUCCGGCUAAGCAUACGACGAUCAGUGAGGUUGCCGUUGCGCACAAAGCUGCAAUUCUCACUCUGCAAGAGACAAAGAUCGAACAAUGGACUACUCAGAUCGCCAAAGAGGUUGGCGGAGCAUCCCUCCAAGGAUGUGCAGUGCUCCCGACAUUUGGAACGAGAGGAGGUGCGGCCAUUUUCUGGAACAAGGACACCGUUUCAGUCUCUUCCCAUGCCAAUGGUAGAUUUUCGAUCACGGCCAUGGUUACUGAACUGGGAAGAAACGAGCAGUUCUGGUUGACAACUGUGUAUGGACCAAAUGACGACGCUCUCAAGGAAGAUUCCUGUAGGAGCUUGCUGCCUCUGCCCCACCCCUAG